UGGGGAAUAUUGCACAAUGGGCGCAAGCCUGAUGCAGCCAUGCCGCGUGUGUGAAGAAGGCCUUCGGGUUGUAAAGCACUUUCAGCGGGGAGGAAGGCGAUAAGGUUAAUAACCUUGUCGAUUGACGUUACCCGCAGAAGAAGCACCGGCUAACUCCGUGCCAGCAGCCGCGGUAAUACGGAGGGUGCAAGCGUUAAUCGGAAUUACUGGGCGUAAAGCGCACGCAGGCGGUCUGUCAAGUCGGAUGUGAAAUCCCCGGGCUCAACCUGGGAACUGCAUUCGAAACUGGCAGGCUAGAGUCUUGUAGAGAGGGGUAGAAUUCCAGGUGUAGCGGUGAAAUGCGUAGAGAUCUGGAGGAAUACCGGUGGCGAAGGCGGCCCCCUGGACAAAGACUGACGCUCAGGUGCGAAAGCGUGGGGAGCAAACAGG
rnacentral:rRNA from 1 species